AAAGUAAAACACAAUAAAAAAGACAAUAAACCAUCACACAAACAUCUCUACUCAUAGUAAGAAGCAACCGACUUCAUAUUGUGUUGGGCAUCGAUGAUCCUCCCUUAGCCGCAGCCAUAGGUGUACUCAUAGUAAGAAGCAACAAACUUCAUAUUGUGUUGGGCAUCGAUGAUCCUUCCUUAGGCGCAGCCAUAGGUGUGGUUAAUAACAUCGUAGUAACAAUACUUACAAUACCUAUCAUAGCAAUCACUGCUCGACCGGCAGUAUCCGCCGCAACCACUCAUCAAACUCUUACUACCAGUUAGUUUUGACACUAUUAGAAUUUCAGAAAAAAACAAUCAAAUUUUAACUAUUAAAGUUGGUCUGUCAAGAAAAGGGAUUAUAAUUGGUCGUUAAAUUAGUGAAAAUAAUAAAAUAAUUAUUUAAAUUAUAUUAGUGACCAAGGUUGGUUGCUAUUUGGCCAACAAAUUUAACUAAAUGUUGACCGGGCGGGUCACACUUUUUUUUGGUCAAAGAAAUACUGAGAUUAGCAACCAACAUUGAUCGCUAAAGGGGGAACCACUUAUAAAAUAUUAAUAAUUAUAAUAUUAUAUUAAAAAAGUUAUAAAAUAUAAAGAAAUAUAAUUUAAAAUUAGCGACAAAAGUUGGUCGCCCAUUAAAAGGUAAGCAGAUAGAGACCAACUUUGGUCGCUAAUAUGAGACCAAGUUAUAAAAUUUUAGUAAUAAUAUUAUUAUUUCAAAAUAAUAAAAAAAUAUAAAUAAAUAUUAUUCAAAGUUAGCGACCAAAGUUUGUCGCCUGCUAAAAUAAAGACCAACUUUGGUCACUAAUAUGGGACCAAGUUCUGACGUUUAACAAUUAUAUUGUUAAUUUAAAUAUUAUAUAAAUUAUAUAUAAAUUUGAUUUAAAUUUAGCGACCAACUUGGUCGCUAAUUUUAAUUUAUGUAUAAUUAGCGACCAAAGUUGGUCUCUUUUCAAGUCAAUAUUGGUCAAAAUUAAAAAUUACUUUUGUAUUUAUUAUUUAAACAAUAUAAAUAUAAGCCGUAAACAUUUUUGUAGUACAAGGGGUGAAUAGACCAAAAUAUACUCUAACAUGCUAUAUAUACAGUUAGGUAGUACUACGAAGCAUGCGUCUCUCUCUCUCUCUCUGGCUCUCUCUCUCUCUCUCUCUCUCUCUCUCUAUAUAUAUAUAUAUAUAUAUAUGUCAAAGGUUUCGUACAAAUGUUUCAAAUGGUCCUAUGCUCAUAGGAACUUGGCCAACAGAGAGUCAAUGUAAACUUCAAUUGAUUUUCCUAUUUGAUCCUCGAAUAUGCGAUUUUUUAGGUGUUGGUAGGUGGCAGUUUCAUUCUUUAAUCCAAAUGACAUUACUUAUAUAUAUUUAUUUAUAAUAGCUAUAUUCGAUAUAGCUUUAUAUAUUUAAUAUUAUACUAUAUCUACAUAUAUAUACUAUACACUUAGUAUAUAUAAUAUACUAUACUAUAUAUACUAUUGGCCAUUUAAGAAAUUGAUACUCUUUAGGUGUAUGUGGUUUAACCCAAAUUCAACAAGAGGUACAAGAGUACACAAUCAAUACAUUAUAAUUGAGGUUAAUCAUAGGAGGGAGUAUGAUUGUUAUGAUCCUUUCGUAAUUACACAUAAUGAUAGACAAGUGUAUUAUGCUCCUCAUCUAUUGUGACAACAUAAGUCUAAUUGGUGGGUUGCAAUAAAAACAAAGCAUGUAGAUAUGAUGAAAGCCGAGAAUGUGUUAGAUGUUUCAUAUCAAAACGAUAUCUCCGGUGUUCACCAAAUAGUGGACGACGUUUUAGAAAAUGAUUUGAAACAUCCUGAAUACAUAUUGGAAGAAGUUGAUAUAAAUGAAGUAAAAAUUAUUGAAAACGAGGAAGAAGAGUCAACCGAUGAAGCUCAAACUAGUGAGGAAGAAUAAUUCUCAUUUAUAGCUAAUUUAUUUAUAUGUUAGAAUCUAAAUAUCUAUUAUAUUAUGCAGAUGACAUGCAUGAGUCAAGGUAAAAAUGAUCCUACUGGUUCUCGGGGUCAAGAAAAGGCAAGGAAACUAAAUAGAAGGGUAAAAGAAAAUACUCAAUCUUUCUCACCCUCUUCAAAGAUAGGAUAAGCAAAUAUCAUAUCUUCAAGUUGUAUAUGUAUUUGUUUCUCUAAUCCCAAGUUAAACUUUUCGAGUUUACUUUAGUGUGACCUUCUUCUACCACCGCGUUCAUCAGUUGUACCACUUCUCCUGAGCUAAAUUCAUCGAAGUUGACAGACGACCCCAAGCAGGACAGUGCAUCAGCCUCACUUGUUUGAUCUUGGGGUACAUCUUGCAGAGUUAAUUUCUUGAAUUAGUGCAGGGUCACCUAUAAUUUGUCCAAGUACAUCCGCAUGUAUUCCUCUUUCACUUCGAAUGUUCUAUUAACUUGAUUUAUGACAAGGAGGGAGUCUCAUUUUUCUUUGAUCACUUCGCCCCCAAGGCUACUAGCAAGUUCUACACCUGCAAUCAUGACCUCAUACUCAACUUCAUUGUUAGUGAAUUUUAAAGUUCUAAUAGACUUCCUAAUUAGGCUUCUACCAUGCCGUUUUAAUACGAUACCGAGCUUGAAGCCUUUUGCAUUGGAUGCACCAUUGGUGAAUAGGGUCCACAUCCCCAAAUUAGUCCUCGAGGUGAGCAGUAAUUCCUGUUAUACUUCAGGUAUAAGGACCGCGUAAAUUUGUCCAUGGAGUCUGCUGAAAUCUAUGAUUUUAUGGCAGUUGGGGCCGGUACUCGAUGUCCUACCCACUGAUCUCUAUGACCUAUUUGUCUAACACGGCCCGAGAUUUCAGAUUAUAUAUAAUAUUCCUUAGUGGGUAAGAGGUCGCGACACGGAUAUGGUGGCAUUGGAAGUGUGAUUUUAGCUUCCUUGAAGCACUUAGCAAAGCGAGUGCUAACAUUUCCAAGUGAGGAUAUCUUGAUUCGGCAUCGUCUAGAGUUUUGGUGAUAUAGUAAAUAGGAAAUAACAUACCUUCUUCCUCUCGGACUAAGGCAUCAAUUACUGCUACCUCAAAAAUCGCCAAGUAGAGGUAUAACUGUUCGUCUUCCUUCAGAGUGUGAAGUAGAGGGGGGCUUGACAAUAUCGUUUGAGUUCUUUCAAAGCUUGCUGGAAUACCCAACUCAAAGAGAAAUUAUUCUUUUUCUUCACUAGUGAGAAGAAUCAAUAUCUCUUGUCCAAGGACCUCGAGAUGAACCUUCCCAAUGCCGAUAUAUGCGCGAUCAAUCUUUGGACCGCCUUGAUGUUGUCCACUAUGGUGAUGUCCUCUAUGGCCUUUAUUUUGUUGUAGUUGAUCUAUAUCCCCAAUUUGGAUACCAUGAACCCAAGGAAUUUACCCAAACUAACCCGAAUGAGCACUUCUUCGGGUUUAGCUUCAUGUUGUAUUUUCUUAGUAUGUCAAAGGUUUCGUACAAAUGUUUCAAAUGGUCCUAUGCUCAUAGGAACUUGGCCAACAGAGAGUCAAUGUAAACUUCAAUUGAUUUUCCUAUUUGAUCCUCGAAUAUGCGAUUUUUUAGGUGUUGGUAGGUGGCAGUUUCAUUCUUUAAUCCAAAUGACAUUACUUUAUAGCAGUAGGUGCCGAAUUUGGUUAUGAAAGAAUUCUUUUCUUAGUCAUCAGGGUCCAUUCGAAUUUGGUUGUACCCGGGUAAGCAUUAGAAAAAUUGUGUAUCUCGUGCUCGGACGUCGUGUCAUUCAUUGUAUCAAUAUUAGGCAAAGGGAAUGAAUCCUCAGGGCAUGUUUUGUUUAGUUCUUUAUAAUCCAUACACAUCUUUAGUUUAUUUCCUUUUUAGGUACUACCACAAUGUUAGCUAGCCAAUCAGGGUAUUUAACUUUUCGGACGGAUCCUAUAUGUUGAAGUUCGGAUACCUCAUCCUUGAUGAACUCCUGUUUGAUCUUGGACAAUGAUCUCCUCUUCCGUUUAAUCGGAUGGAACUUCAGGUCCAAACUCAGCUUAUGAGUGGUUACCUCCGGUGGGAUCCCUGCUAUGUCUAGGUGGGACCAAGAGAAACAAUCAGUGUUGGCUAUAAUAAAAUCAAUUAUUUUUUUCCUUUGCUCGAUGGUUAACUCCGUGCCCAGGUAUAUCUUUCGAUCUGGUAGAUGCUCGAUUAAUAUGACUUUCUCAAAUUCUUCAACAAUUGAUUUUGUGGCUUCGGUCUCAUCAAUAGCUAUGAAUGAUCUUGGGAUGUCGUAAGCAUCAUCCUUGUCUACUCAUCGUUCUUCUUGUUUCUCCGAUUCGGUUGAGGGUGGUAUCAGUGAUUGAUAUUUAAUCUCUUUCUUUUUUGUCGGUUUUGUGUUACUUGAUGUCGAAACUGCGAGCAUCGGGAUUGCCUCAUCAGUAGUAAACAUCUACAUUAUGGCCGGUUGUUCUCCGUAGACCAUUUUGACUCCCUCGGGUGCAGGAAAUUUUAACACUUGGUGCAAGGUCGAGGAUACCGCCCUCAUUUGUGGACCCAUGGCUUUCCCAAUGGAGCGUUGUACCUCAUGUCCCCUUCGAUCAAGUAAAACUUUGUUUCCUGGAUUGUCCCGACUAUGUUUAUUUUCAAAGUUAUCUCCCCUUUCAUGGUCUUACAUGCCAUGUUAGACCCAUUCAGUACCUGGACUACCGAUACAAUUUAAUCUGGUAAUCCUAACUGCUCUACGACCGUUAAUCGGAUGAUGUUGGCCGAGCUACCUGGAUCAAUCAACAGAGGUAUAACAUGAGAUUUAUUAAUAAGUAUAUAUAUAUUACUGGUGCAUCAUUUUGAACUUCGAAGAUUGUUGUAGCAUCUUUUAUGAUUCCAACUUCCAAAGGUUGUCGUAAUUGGACUUUCCUUUUUUUUUUUUUUCCUCUUGUUAAGUCUAAAUAAAAAUUACUCUUUCCAUUUCAUGUUAUGUGAACCUAUUUCUUUUUUGGUCCGUGUCGAAAAGAAUGACCUCUUUCCUUAUUUGAAAACAAUUUACUUUUAUGCAAUGAUUUAUAGCUACACAAAAUAUAUGUGACUCAUUUUACACCACAAGUUUAAAAGUCUUAUCUCUUUUCUUAAACUCCGUGUCUAAUCAAAUAGAUUUACAUAAAUUGAAACAGAGGGAGUGUCAUAUAGCGCAACCCCUUACCUAUGAUUAGAUGCUUGCUUCAUUAAUCAUGUAGGUAUGAGGGGUUCGUUUGUUAAUGCCAUGGGAAAGCUGGCUUUAUAAUUUCAGUUAUGUAGUUAUCCCUCUUCUCUCAACACCCCUCCCCCCUCCUGGGGGCAUACCCCAUAAAAAGCUGGCUUCAAGAUAUGUAGUAUCUUUGCGUGGGAUCGUGAACAUGACAAAGCUGUAGUAACGAGGAAACCAAGAUAUUGAUAAGCUAAAUGAUAAUGGUGUUUUACUCAAAAUUAGCAGUACAGAUACAACAGAAACAGUUAAUGUAGGCCAACACGACCCAUCUUGAUGUUACAUUCGACAUUGUCCUGAUCUAAAUAGAAGCAGAACUUAGUCGUUUUAUUUUUUCAAUUAAGAAAAAACUGAAACGGGAAAAGUAAAACACAAUAACAAAGACAAUAAACUAUCACACAAACAUCUCUACUCAUAGUGAGAAGCAACAGACUUCAUAUUGUGUUGGGCAUCGAUGAUCCUCCCUUAGCCGCAGCCAUAGGUGUGGUUAAUAACAUCGUAGUAACAAUACUUACAAUACCUAUCAUAGCAGUCACUGCUCGACCGGCAGUAUCCGCCGCAACCACUCAUCAAACUCUUACCACCAGUUAGUUUUGAUUUGAGUUCUGCUGGUACAUUCGCCGGCAAGUCUCUCACAGCCAGUAUUGGAGACUGAGCCAAAUAAACUAUAAUCCAGUAAUAAAAAAUCAAAUGUCAAAAUCAAUAUGUUAUACCAUUGUUAAUGUUCCAACUAUACAUUAUAUUGACGUAUAUAUGUAAACCCAUAUAGAGACAAUAUCAAAUAAAAAGAGAGUGAGGGGUAGAAAAUGUAAUAGGACAUUUACCAGACAUCACCAUGAGCGCAACAGUGAAAUAGAAAGCAUAACUGCGAGCCAUGACAACAGUAGUAUUGCUUAUAAGAGGGAGAAAGAUAUAUAAGAAAAUGUGUUAUUGGACUGCAAUUUUUUGCUUCAUAAAAGCCAUGAAUUUAUAGGCCUCUUCUCCCCUAUAUUUUUUUUUAUCUAAAUUACAACUUGUGUUUAACCAAGAUAUAUUACUUACCAAGUUGAAACAAAUUUAUUCAAGAAAGGGGAAGGAAAAGUCCAGAUGAUGAGAACCUUAUUAGUAGAGAUUCCCUCCAGUUUCUUUGCAUGUUACUUAGUUACCAAGUGGGUAUUAUAGAUUUUGGUUUAACCUAAUUAGUAACAAAUAAAUUAUUAUUAAAAGUGGCUUACACACUCCCAAGUAGUUCAUGCAACCCUCACUUAGGCAUCCAUCUGAUAUGCCAUUGUAAGAAGAGGGGGAAAGUUAUUGAGAUCAAGAGCUCCUUUCGAAAAAAUCAACUUGCUUAAUUAAACAGAAGAUUAAUUAAAUUAUAGCAACUUGCUUUAAUUGCAUAGCCGCUUCCCCAUGCAUUCUGAUUAGUUGGCUAAUCUGCCUCGACUGGAUCUUCAGUUUAAACGUAUUUAACUACAUAAUCUUACUUCAUAUAAUUUCUCCGGUUUCCGUUUUCAAAAUUUCCAUUUGAUUAAAUAAAUCUCUAAUUGGAAUCAAUAUUUUCUCCGAUCAGUUGGUUUUUGUAAAUUUGGUUUUAAUAUUUCUUAUACUACUAGUCUUCUAAUUAAUUUGCAAAUAAAAUUAACACUUGAAUGCAAAUUAAAAGUUUACCUUUUCAUACAUUUUUGUGGGAUAAAUGAAACUUACCACGGAAGGCUCGUCCUAACAAUACAUGGCAUGGCAAACCAGAGGCGACUCCAGGAUUUAAAGCUUGUGUGCUCUUGCAUCGACUUCAAGUAAAUUUACAGUAAUAAUUGAGUUAACGAUAAAAUAUUUAUAGAUAUUUAAUGAACUUCUUAAUAUAUAAAUAAAAUUUAAGCAAAAGUUAUUGUUUUCCCGUGAAUGCAUAUGUCGGACUCUAGAUCCGCCCAUGUGACAAACCAAAUGAUUAGCUCUAAGUAGUUACACUCUUUCCAUCUAGAAAAAACGAUAUACUAUUAGAUUUACAUUUAUAAUUUUUUCAUCAUUUGAAAAUAUUUGUAAUUAUAAGAUACUAUGUGUAUAUAAUCGAAACAUGGUUCGCCUGUUAUAUGACUAAUCGAGACUAAAACGUGACAGAUUAAAGUUCAAUCUCGGGUUAUAAUGAAACGAGGUGCAAAAUGGCAUCGUUGUGAUCGUGACCCGAGGACAGAACAUAAUUGAGACCGAACAAAUUCGAUGAUAAUUUGUCGACCAAGUAAUAGAAGGCCGAAAUAUCCUUGAAAAUCAUGGCAGAAAUCUCCGCAAGUAUCAAGAAGAAGCCGAGUAAUUAGCAAACCAUAAGAUGUUUUUACCUUGUAUAUGAUUAUACCAAGUAGGACAAUCUUACUAUAUAAAAGGGGGUCUGAUCAUUUGUAACACACAUUCAAACACGCAAUACUAUGCAAUUUACUAUUAUUUCUAGCUCGGAUCACCUUGUUAUUCAGUUCGUAUAUCAGAAGAGGCAUUUCUUGUCUUGAGGGUGAUCAAACACUAACGUCAAGGCUGUCCAAUUUGUGUGGUUUGCAUUUAUUUCCUUAUCAUUAAUUUUAAUAUUUAUUUGUCUUCUUAAUUUGUGCCAAGUUAUAUCAUAUGUCAUUAAAACCGCGUAUAAAAUCAAUUGUUCAAUUUGUGUGGUUUUCAUUUAUUUCCUUAUCAUUAAUUUUAAUAUUUAUCUGUCUUCUUAAUUUGUGCCAAGUUAUAUCAUAUGUCAUUAAAACCGCGUAUAAAAUCAAUUGUUACUCAUUUUUUAGGUAAAUAAUUUUGCUCUCACCGUGGGCUAAGGAUAAUAGUAGGUACUCGGUACAAACUUUCACAACACACAAUUUUUCACUUAUUCUUUAAAGUAUCUUUGAUUCCACGGUAGCAAUGUCGAACUCCAGUCAGCACCCUUCAGUAGACAUCGAUUCGUCUACCACAAUGAGAAUAAUAAAUCCAAUCGACAUCGGCUCACAUGUAGCCCUCAUCACAAAUUUGGCUGUCAAUCUUGUGGGAAGCAUCCGCGGGGAUAUUCUAUCAGCUGCUCAAAGCACAUAUGGAGUAGAAGAUGGCGAGAUCAACCUGCUAGUGAGUUUUGAUAUGUUGUAUGCUCAACAAGCAGCGAUAACCCAACUCCAUAACUAGAAUCACCCACCGAGCUGGAUUGACCAUGAGCCGUCACAGAAAGUUGUCCACAGGGUCAGAUUAGUUUUGAGGCAACCGAAUGAGAGAGAAUCAUGGACAGACCCUGCAAUCAUGAAAAUGCUCGAAGAGCUGAAUGGAACGAAUGGAACUGUAACCAAUCGUCGAUGAUUGGGCUAUUUAAGCUUUCACUCAAGGACUCAAUGUUCGAAUCUCGAUGGCUUCGCAUUAGUUGAAGCAGAAUUUGAUAGAGUACCGGUGAUGACCUGAAAGGUCAUCACUUAUUUUAUAAAUAAAUUCUGCAUUCCGAGGCCUAAAAACCUUCUAUUUGUCUCACCUUAAUUGGUCAGUUGAAGCAGAAUUUGAUAGAGUACCUGUGAUGACCUGAAAGGUCAUCACUUAUUUUAUAAAUAAAUUCUGCAUUCCGAGGCCUAAAAACCUUCUAUUUGUCUCACCUUAAUUGGUGUGCGCAGUCCCGGCGUGUAUCCGAAAUUUCAUCAUGUGUAAAUUUGUGAAAAUGGUAAAUUUUGCUUCUAGAAUGAUGUUGUGUUAACUUCGGUCAAUAUUUUGGGUAGCAGACACUGACCCAUAUUUCGAUAGUCCCGGAAGGUCCGUGGAGAAAAUGGGACUUGGGCGUAUGUCUGGAAUCGAAUUCUAAGGACCUAAGCUCGAGAAAUAAAUUUUUAAAGAAAAUUAUUUUAUGGAAUAUACAUGAGUUUUCGAAAAUGAAAUAUGUUGAAUUUGAUGGUAUCGGGCCCGUAUUUUAGUUCCGGAGCCUUGUACAAGUUUGAAAUAAUAAUUUGGUUAAAUCUGUAAAAUUUUGAAAAGAUCAGGAUUGGUUUGGUAUAGAACGGGCUUAAAAUUGAGAAAUUGGAAUUUUGGGUGUUCUUGGAUGAUUUCAUGAAUUUGGGAUUCAAUUCAUAGUUGUUUAGUUAUUUUGAUUAUUUUGUUGCACGAGCAAGUCCGUAUGAUAUUCUCAAGUUGAUGUGUAUGUUUUGUUCGGAGCUCCGAGGGCUCGGGUGAGUUUUGGAUAGGCCAUAGAGUGAAUUUGGAUUUCGGAAAUUUUCUGGUGUGUUGUAGGUUUGUAGCACGCCUCUGAUCUCUCAUUUGGGAGAUUAGACAUCACAAUUGGGAUGAAAGUAAGGGUUCACAAAUUUGAGGUCUUGGUCGCAUAUGCAAAGAACCCCGCACCAGCUUUAUCUCUUAUCUGCGAGGUACACUUUGCAAGUGUGAAGUCUUUAGUUAAUGCCAGGAGUUGAAAAUGAAACCCAUGAAUCGCUAAUGCGAUGUCGCAAAUGCGCCAUAUCCUUGGCAUAUGUGAUGUUAGCAGGUUCCUUAAGGGUUCGCAAUUUCCGCAAUUGCUACAUCUGAGACCUGCCAAUUCAACCCUUUCAAAACCUAAACACUUUUGUGCGAUUUUUCAAAGAGAAGUACUGUUCCAAAUCGAAUGUCAGUCCAAUUUAACUCUUUUUAUUAAUCUUUAAUAUCUUUUCUCAUGAUUUCAACUCAAAAUCGAAGGUUUUCAUGUGGGAAAUUGGGUAUUUUGGGUAGAACCUUGGUUUUACAAAUAUUGGGAAUUUCGACCUUGAUUUAAGGUCUGAUUUCAAAAAAAUUAUAUAUUUGGGUUCGUGGGUGAAUGGAUAAUCGGUUUUUCCUACGAACCUCGGGUUUUGACCAUGUGGGUUCGGGGUCGAUUUUUGACAUUUUGAGGAAAAUCCUCAUAAAACCUAUUUUCAUGCAUUUGAAUUGAUUCAUUUAGCAAUUAUUGAUAUCGUUAAGUAACUUGUGACUCGAUACAACAAAAUUGGUGGUGGAAACGAGAGGUAAAGUGGUAGUUGAGGCUUGAAUUGUGUUCGUCUUAGGAAUUAUUGAUAUCGUGAAGUAACUUGUGACUCGAUACAAGAAAAUUGGUGGUGGAAACGAGAGGUAAAGUGGUAGUUGAGGCUUGAAUUGUGUUGUGGUAUCAAGGAAAGUGUUUGGUCUAACCUUAGCUUUGUCUUAUUUUCUAUGUGUUAAUUGUGGAGUAUGACGUAUAGGCAUGGUGACGAGUAUGGUUUCAAGCACGCCCGUGAGUCUCGUAUAUGAUUGUUGUGACUCGGUUUUGAUUUGUUCACGCCUAAUAUGUUGAUUACCAUUGUUGGUUCCCUUGUCGGGAUUUUGUCACGCCCCGAAUCUGAUGAGGUAUGACAAGAACUCGGUGCCAUACUUGGCCCGAGCGUACCACUCACUAACUAAAAACUCUGGAGGGGUAACCCUCAACUUAGGCUGAUGAGGCCAUAUUCUGAAUCAUAUGAAAAUAUCAACUCUCUUGUCUGAGGGGUAAGCAUACCAAAAAGCUCAUAUAUAUAUAUAUAUAUAUAUAUACCAAUAAAGCUAAUGUUUAACUUUUUCUGCUGGGAGGGUCUGUCCAACUAUCAAUGAGAACGUGCAAGCAUGAAAUGCAACGUCUCCGGCAAAAAGGACGCCAGUACAAAUUAAUCUACCGAGUAUAUAAGGCAAAAGGAUAACUGAAAGCUGAAACUAAAAUGAUAAUAUAAUAAUUGAAAGUAACUAGGAGUUCAAGAUAAUAUGAAGACAUGCUUACCUACUGAUACUGGCUCCGCUCUCUCAAUAUUAUAAGUAAAAUAGUUUUCUGGCCCUAUAAGGCCUCGAUAUAUAUAUAUAUAUAUAUAUUUGCUCAUAGGCGCACGACCAUAGUAGGCUCUAUAUCUUGGCCAUUGUGGGCUCGCUCAUAGGCAUUUGGCCACAGUAGACUCGGUAUAUAACUCACCAUCUAAUCAGAGGUUGCCAACAAGGGUUUGCCCACUGAUUAUAGUUCGAUGGAAGUGAAAGUACUAUAAUACUAUAUAUAUAGACUCUCUACUCUGUAGGCUGACAGAAGACAAAACUAAACUAAAUGUAAAGUCCCGAUAAGGGAGAAUGCAAUAAUUUAUGAGACUAGGAAAAUGUACAUCAAUUCAUGAAUAUGAACUUUUCUUUAUGUCUGGUUAUCAAACGCAUAUACUUAUUGGAUCAUGCCAAAGUGAAGGAAAGGUUAAGCCUUAACAUAACUUAUCACAAUCUUUCAAAUCACCAACUUGAACUCGAUCUUCACACCUUAAUCUAUAACAAUGACAAUAAUAUUAUCCCUAAGUUAUGAAAGGUACAACUAUCACAUAACAAACGACAAGUUUAUUUAUUAAUAAAAAUGGGCCGUAUCUCCCUUAUAAUUCUUACUUCCUCCAAAUUCAAGAUAACACCAAAAACACAAGAAAAUACUAAUAUCAACAUAUAUACAUUAUAUUCCAACCUUAUACACACCACAAAUUACUAUGAAAUAGCCUAACACUCUCCAAUCUCUUCAUAUACAAAACGACCGCCGUUAUACACACCAUAAAAUACUAUGAAAUAGCCCAACACUCUCCAAUCUCUUCAUACACAAAACGACCGCCGUAGUAGUGUCAAACAACACGAAAAUAAUACAACGGCCAGCCUUACACCCUGCAUAUAUGUGGUGUUUAUAAACACCCUUAGUCCUCCAAAACUCCAGAACACAGUAGUAAUUCACGAAGCCUAAUCGCAACACAAAACAAUCCACGAAACAGUCCGCUACAAGUAAAUAACCCGAACUCGAGGCUUCCGAUCACCAUCCCGUGAGUUCUUAUGACUAUAGAACGACUUACCAUGAUUUUAUAGUAGAAAAAAUGGAUGAAAGAGAGAAAUAAACAUACCUUAUUUGUUGGAUAACUCAGCUCAUAUCUUGGUUCUUCAAACUCUAGGUUUUACCCCCCAAAAUAAAAAUAAACAUACCUUAUUUGUUGGAUAACUCAGCUCAUAUAUUGGUUCUUCAAACUCUAGGUUUUACCCCGCAAUUAGAACUUUAAAGGGAGAGAAAAUCAAUUAUGUUUUGUGGGUAAUUUUUGGGAGGUAGUUUGCAGAGGUUUAGGUAUAUUUAUUUGUGAUAUGUAAUGAGAUCUAUAUAUUAGGACAUAAGCGCUUAAAUGGGCUCUUUGGGUGACCCGAAAUUGCCUCUUUUUGGGCUCCUAUUUAGGUGACACACCUACUUAUCACCUAGGAGCCUGUGCAAUCUUACAAAAGUGCCUAUAUCUAUCUACUCCGAUGUUGUAUUGAUCAACAAUAUAAUGCAUCCGAAAUAGACUCAUAGAUUUUCAACUUGAUGGGUGGAACAUCCCAUAACCAUAAAUAUAUUGGGAGAAAAUUUCAGUUAUAUUUGACCCAAAGUUUUAGUAGAACUUAUGAAUGUAACUUGUAAUGACCUUUUCCGACUUUUGUUCCACAAAUCGCAUGACUUAAAAUUAUAACACACAUCAAUAAUGAGACUAAAAUAACUCAUAACAUAAUCUCACCCUAUUCUCACCCCAAAAGUACAUGUUACAGUAUUCCCAACUUGUCAACUUUCAACGAAACUUAUUUUCUUUAAUUCAUUUAGUUUUGAAGCCAUCAAACUAUCUUGGUACUUGGUAUUCAUGAUCUUAAAUAUUUGUAACCUCCAUUGUUACAUGAUUAACUUAAUUUAUGUACUUUCAUAGUUUAUCUCAUUUUUGGGCUUACAUCAAUUGAGUUACAAAUACCCUCACGUACGAAAACAUGGGGUGUAACAUCAUUCCCCCAUUUGGAACAUUCGUCCUUGAAUGUUGAUUGAUGUGCCUAUUAGUCUCAUUAUCCAUAUCUCUUACGAAUAUUUUACUACUGUCCUUUUCAUCUAGGCAAUCGUUUUGUGUAUAAAUUCGAAGGCUAGGGCAUUUCCCUUUUAGGUCUCUUUUUCAUACCAUUGCUUUUUGUCAAAGUUCUUCAACUCUCGUAGAUGUUGCGACCUUCUAUCAUGCUGCAUGUAUGUGCUUCAUGGAUAACAUUGUCAACAUAUAUGCUAUAUCAUUGUCAACAUAUAUGCUUCAUGGAUAACACGCCUAAAUCUUAACUGUGUUCAUAACAUAACUAACUUUGUGUCAUAGAUCGAAUAAUUCUUUUCGUGCCUUCUCGGAUUUCUUUAAAAGUAAGGAAUCACCUUUGUUAGUUGUAAUGCCAUUUGUUGCAUGAAUACUUCGCUGAUCGUAUUUCCCACAUAUAUUGGAAUUGCAACUCAUAUGAUCUCAAAUAUUACUUUCGAUUUUACUUCGCGUUCCCUAGUCACGAUUGGUGCCGCUUUGUUAUGGAGAGCAUAGAAUGUCGUAGUGAGACUAUUAUUCCAAGAUCAUUUCUUCUUUAGGUCACUAUGCUUAUGUUGGUGCCUUCUUCCUUAUUCCCGAGCUAGUCUUUCAUUGUAUCACUUGGAAUACCCUCUAACUCUUCUAAAUCUAUGAGUUUAUUCUAUUCUCUACCCGACAUAAUUUUUGAUGUUCUUACUCGCCUAUUAUUAUCGUUAGUCACUUAAUUCUGUGCCCUUGUGCUCGUCAGGUUACUUCCGAUCCCAAAUCUUGAUUGUCUCCCAAAAUGGAACUCUUUUUUAUGCAACACUUAUGUUGUACCUUCUAUUUCCCCAACUCUAUCUGAAAAGUUUUCGAGGAUUACGAUAACGUGUUUGAGAGACUGAAUUUUCCUAUGUUAGAUUUCACUAUUUUUAUCUUACAUGAUCUACUGAUUUAUCUGAGACCUUUUGUGUAGCCAUAACUAGGCUUUUCCUGAAUCAACUACUAAGAAAAAACUAAAACGGGAAAAGUAAAACACAAUAAAAAAGACAAUAAACCAUCACACAAACAUCUCUACACAUAGUAAGAAGCAACCGACUUCAUAUUGUGUUGGGCACCGAUGAUCCUCCCUUAGCCGCAUCCAUAGGUGUGGUUAAUAACAUCGUAGUAACAAUACUUACAAUACCUAUCAUAGCACUCACUACUCGACCGGCAGUAUCCGCCGCAACCACUCAUCAAACUCUUACCACUAGUUAGUUUU
rnacentral:lncRNA from 1 species